AGUAACGCGUAGAUAACGUGCCCUCUUGCGGGGAAUACCGUUUCGAAAGGAACGUUAAUGCCUUAUAACAUGAGGCCGGGGCAUCCCGGUCUUAUCAAACUUCAGGGGCAAGAGGAGCGGUCUGCGUUCUAUCAGCUAGUUGGUGAGGUAAUGGCUCACCAAGGCUACGACGGAUAACUGGUCUGAGAGGAUGAUCAGUCACACUGGAACUGAGACACGGUCCAG
rnacentral:rRNA from 1 species